rnacentral:rRNA from 1 species
UACGUAGGUGACCAGCGUUGUCCGGAUUUACUGGGCGUAAAGAGCGCGCAGGCGGUCGUUCAAGUCGAGUGUGAAAGCCCCCGGCUCAACUGGGGAGGGUCAUUCGAUACUGAUCGACUGGAAGGCAGGAGAGGGAAGCGGAAUUCCCGGUGUAGUGGUGAAAUGCGUAGAUAUCGGGAGGAACACCAGUGGCGAAGGCGGCUUCCUGGCCUGUUCUUGACGUCUGAGGCGCGAAGCUAGGGGAGCAAAACGGG